UACGAAGGGUGCAAGCGUUACUCGGAAUUACUGGGCGUAAAGCGUGCGUAGGCGGUUUGUUAAGUCCGUUGUGAAAGCCCUGGGCUCAACCUGGGAAUUGCAGUGGAUACUGGCGAGCUAGAGUGCGGUAGAGGAUGGUGGAAUUCCCGGUGUAGCGGUGAAAUGCGUAGAGAUCGGGAGGAACACCCGUGGCGAAGGCGGCCAUCUGGACCAGCACGUGACGCUGAGGCACGAAAGCGUGGGGAGCAAACAAG
rnacentral:rRNA from 1 species